UACGUCGGGGGCAAGCGUUGUCCGGAUUCAUUGGGCGUAAAGAGCGUGUAGGCGGCCAGGUAGGUCGGUUGUGAAAACUGGAGGCUCAACCUUCAGAGGUCGACCGAAACCAUCUGGCUAGAGUCCGGGAGAGGAGAGUGGAAUUCCUGGUGUAGCGGUGAAAUGCGCAGAUAUCAGGAAGAACACCCGUGGCGAAAGCGGCUCUCUGGAACGGUACUGACGCUGAGACGCGAAAGCGUGGGGAGCGAACGGG
rnacentral:rRNA from 1 species